rnacentral:rRNA from 1 species
CGCCGAUGGUACUUGGACCGCAGGGUCCUGGGAGAGUAGGACGUCGCCAAGC